rnacentral:rRNA from 1 species
UACGGAGGAGGCAAGCGUUAUCCGGAAUUAUUGGGCGUAAAGCGUCCGUAGGUGGCUAGUCAAGUCUGCGGUCAAAGACUGGGGCUUAACCCUGGAAAGGCCGUGGAAACUGACGAGCUAGAGUGCAGUAGGGGUAGAGGGAAUUCCCGGUGUAGCGGUGAAAUGCGUAGAGCUCGGGAAGAACAUCGGUGGCGAAAGCGCUCUACUGGACUGCAACUGACACUCAGGGACGAAAGCUAGGGGAGCAAACGGG